rnacentral:rRNA from 1 species
AUUGAACGCUGGCGGCAUGCCUUACACAUGCAAGUCGAACGGCAGCACGGGAGCAAUCCUGGUGGCGAGUGGCGAACGGGUGAGUAAUAUAUCGGAACGUGCCCAGUAGUGGGGGAUAACUGCUCGAAAGAGCAGCUAAUACCGCAUACGACCUGAGGGUGAAAGGGGGGGAUCGCAAGACCUCUCGCUAUUGGAGCGGCCGAUAUCAGAUUAGCUAGCUGGUGGGGUAAAGGACUACCAAGGGAACGAUCUGUAGUUGGUCUGAGAGGACGAGCAGCCGCGCUGGGAGUGAGAGACGGCCCAGACUCCUACGGGAGGCAGAAGUGGGGAAUUUUAGACAAUGGGCGCAAGCCUGAUCCAGCAAUGGCGCGUGCAGGAGGAAGGCCUUCGGGUUGUAAACUGCUUUUGUCAGGGAAGAAAUCUUCUGGGUUAAUACCUCGGGAGGAUGACGGUGCCUGAAGAAUAAGCACCGGCUAACUACGUGCCAGCCGCCGCGGUAAAAC